AAUUAUUGAUUAAAACAGAAAACAGAAAAACAAGAGAGCUUGGUAUUUAAGAUAAAUAUAAUUAGUCCCCAAUUCCCGAACCCUACAACAUUACCUCUGUCUUUUUCCAGUUAAAACCCCUGCACUCCACUGCCGGCUGCCGCUUCUCGCCGUCAGUUGUCAGCGAUCAGCAACCUUUGAUUUAGAUGAUUCCCCAAUAUCUUUGUUUGAAUCCUUCCGAACAUUCAUAUGAUCAUGUAAAGAUUUUUUUCUAUUUUCAUCGUCCGAAUCAUAAAUUCUCCUAUUCGUAAAAGGAUACAUUAAUAUAAUGUAAUAGAACGAUGAACAAGAAGAAAAGAAGAAGAACGGAUGAUGGAGUAAGAAGAAGAACCAGAGACGGAUGAUGAGUAAGAAGAACCAGAGAACAAUGGUAGUUUCAAUUUUUAGAAAUUUCAGAUUUUUGAAAUUCAAAAUUGCAUAUUAAAUAUUGUGAAACGUGUUUAAUUAAAAGUAAUAAUUCAAAAUUUAAAAAGUGAUUUAAAAGAUUAAGUGCUUUAGUGGAGAAAAAAUAGGCAUGAUAUUGAAAAAACGUGUGUUAUAGGAGAGAGAAGACUAUGUAUCUCUAAACUUCUAUUAAAAUUAAAAAAAAAAGAAUUAUGUAAUAUUUAAAAAAAGAAGAAAAAAUUAGAGAAUACUAAACUUAUAGUUGUGUAUUUAAGUUAUUUUUCUUUACGAUGAUUUUUCUUAAAUUAAAAUCACAAAAAUAAAAUACCUGUCGUUGCUUAAAUUGACUCGUCUCUUUUUUUCAUUAAUUAUAUCAUGAGAUCUGUUCCCAACUUCCAAGAAGAA